rnacentral:rRNA from 1 species
GGGGGGUGCAAGCGUUGUUCGGAUUCACUGGGCGUAAAGCGCGUGUAGGCGGGUCGGCCAGUCCUGUGUGUAAUCUCCCGGCUUAACCGGGAAACUGCAUAGGAUACUACCGAUCUUGAGUGCGAGAGAGGAUGGCGGAAUUCCUGGUGUAGCGGUGAAAUGCGUAGAUAUCAGGAGGAACACCGGUGGCGAAGGCGGCCAUCUGGCUCGACACUGACGCUGAGAUGCGAAGGCCGGGGGGGAGCAAACAGGAUUAGAUACCCUGGUAGUCCCGGCAGUAAACGUUGGACACUAGGUGUGGGGAGUCGACCCCUUUCCGUGCCGCAGUUAACGCAUUAAGUGUCCCGCCUGGGGAGUACGGCCGCAAGGUUG